CCUUACCUGGCCUUGACAUCCAGAGAACUUAGCAGAGAUGCUUUGGUGCCUUCGGGAACUCUGAGACAGGUGCUGCAUGGCUGUCGUCAGCUCGUGUUGUGAAAUGUUGGGUUAAGUCCCGCAACGAGCGCAACCCUUAUCCUUUGUUGCCAGCGGUUCGGCCGGGAACUCAAAGGAGACUGCCGGUGAUAAACCGGAGGAAGGUGGGGAUGACGUCAAGUCAUCAUGGCCCUUACGGCCAGGGCUACACACGUGCUACAAUGGCGCAUACAAAGAGAAGCGACCUCGCGAGAGCAAGCGGACCUCAUAAAGUGCGUCGUAGUCCGGAUUGGAGUCUGCAACUCGACUCCAUGAAGUCGGAAUCGCUAGUAAUCGUAGAUCAGAAUGCUACGGUGAAUACGUUCCCGGGCCUUGUACACACCGCCCGUCACACCAUGGGAGUGGGUUGCAAAAGAAGUAGGUAGCUUAACCUUCGGGA
rnacentral:rRNA from 1 species